UACGGAGGAUCCGAGCGUUAUCCGGAUUUAUUGGGUUUAAAGGGUGCGCAGGCGGGAGAUUAAGUCGGCGGUGAAAUUUUGCAGCUCAACUGUAAAAGUGCCUUCGAAACUGGUUUCCUUGAGUAUAGAUGAAGUAGGCGGAAUUUGUGGUGUAGCGGUGAAAUGCAUAGAUAUCACGAGGAACUCCGAUUGCGCAGGCAGCUUACUAAACUACUACUGACGCUCAGGCACGAAGGCGUGGGGAGUCAAACAGGAUUAGAUACCCUGGUA
rnacentral:rRNA from 1 species